GAGUUUGAUCAUGGCUCAGGACGAACGCUGGCGGCGUGCCUAAUACAUGCAAGUAGAACGCUGAAGAGAGGAGCUUGCUCUUCUUGGAUGAGUUGCGAACGGGUGAGUAACGCGUAGGUAACCUGCCUGGUAGCGGGGGAUAACUAUUGGAAACGAUAGCUAAUACCGCAUAAAAUUGAUUAUUGCAUGAUAAUUAAUUGAAAGAUGCAAUUGCAUCACUACCAGAUGGACCUGCGUUGUAUUAGCUAGUUGGUGAGGUAACGGCUCACCAAGGCGACGAUACAUAGCCGACCUGAGAGGGUGAUCGGCCACACUGGGACCGAGACACGGCCCAGACUCCUACGGGAGGCAGCAGUAGGGAAUCUUCGGCAAUGGGGGGAACCCUGACCGAGCAACGCCGCGUGAGUGAAGAAGGUUUUCGGAUCGUAAAGCUCUGUUGUAAGAGAAGAACGGGUGUGAGAGUGGAAAGUUCACACUGUGACGGUAUCUUACCAGAAAGGGACGGCUAACUACGUGCCAGCAGCCGCGGUAAUACGUAGGUCCCGAGCGUUGUCCGGAUUUAUUGGGCGUAAAGCGAGCGCAGGCGGUUAGAUAAGUCUGAAGUUAAAGGCUGUGGCUUAACCAUAGUAUGCUUUGGAAACUGUUUAACUUGAGUGCAGAAGGGGAGAGUGGAAUUCCAUGUGUAGCGGUGAAAUGCGUAGAUAUAUGGAGGAACACCGGUGGCGAAAGCGGCUCUCUGGUCUGUAACUGACGCUGAGGCUCGAAAGCGUGGGGAGCAAACAGGAUUAGAUACCCUGGUAGUCCACGCCGUAAACGAUGAGUGCUAGGUGUUAGGCCCUUUCCGGGGCUUAGUGCCGCAGCUAACGCAUUAAGCACUCCGCCUGGGGAGUACGACCGCAAGGUUGAAACUCAAAGGAAUUGACGGGGGCCCGCACAAGCGGUGGAGCAUGUGGUUUAAUUCGAAGCAACGCGAAGAACCUUACCAGGUCUUGACAUCCCUCUGACCGCUCUAGAGAUAGAGUUUUCCUUCGGGACAGAGGUGACAGGUGGUGCAUGGUUGUCGUCAGCUCGUGUCGUGAGAUGUUGGGUUAAGUCCCGCAACGGGCGCAACCCCUAUUGUUAGUUGCCAUCAUUGAGUUGGGCACUCUAGCGAGACUGCCGGUAAUAAACCGGAGGAAGGUGGGGAUGACGUCAAAUCAUCAUGCCCCUUAUGACCUGGGCUACACACGUGCUACAAUGGCUGGUACAACGAGUCGCAAGCCGGUGACGGCAAGCUAAUCUCUGAAAGCCAGUCUCAGUUCGGAUUGUAGGCUGCAACUCGCCUACAUGAAGUCGGAAUCGCUAGUAAUCGCGGAUCAGCACGCCGCGGUGAAUACGUUCCCGGGCCUUGCACACACCGCCCGUC
rnacentral:rRNA from 1 species